ACCAACUGUUGAGGUUCCAUCUCAACAUUCUCCAGAUUCUGAUGUGAGCCAUUAACUGACUUCAUCCCUCCAACAGAAACCAACUGUUGAGGUUCUAUCUCAACAUUCUCUAAAUUCAGAUGACAGCCAUAAACCGACUUCAUCCCUCCAACAGAUUGACAGCAGGACAAAUCGCUGGAAGUGGGUAUGUCUCAAGCUUCUUCCACUUGGUCCACUCCAAAGCGGGGUAAAUAAAUAAUCCACAUCAUUUACUAGAAUAUUAUAUUACGUUUUGCACCUUUUCACUGUGUUAUAGUCCUUAUUCCUUCAGUAAGAAAUUGUAUUUUGUCUCCUUUAUGACAACUGCAAAGGGGAAGAAGUGGAAGCAGUUGAAUGACACAUGUUGCAUUUUGUAACUGGCAACAAAGUACCAGGUAAAAAAGAUUGUGAAGCCUGCCUCCAUAAAGAACUAGUAGCUCUACAGGACAGAGAUUGGCUUGCCAUCAAGUACUACAUCCAUAACAGAAUUAUAUUAAAAAAAGGGAAAAAAAAUGUUUUCCCACAUCUUCUGUGGUAGUUUGAGUAUGUUACCAGCAAUUAAAAAAGCAAAAUAAACA